GACCUGCGGAGGGAUCAUUACACAAAUAUGAAGGCGGGCUGGAACCUCUCGGGGUUACAGCCUUGCUGAAUUAUUCACCCUUGUCUUUUGCGUACUUCUUGUUUCCUUGGUGGGUUCGCCCACCACUAGGACAAACAUAAACCUUUUGUAAUUGCAAUCAGCGUCAGUAACAAAUUAAUAAUUACAACUUUCAACAACGGAUCUCUUGGUUCUGGCAUCGAUGAAGAACGCAGCGAAAUGCGAUAAGUAGUGUGAAUUGCAGAAUUCAGUGAAUCAUCGAAUCUUUGAACGCACAUUGCGCCCUUUGGUAUUCCAAAGGGCAUGCCUGUUCGAGCGUCAUUUGUACCCUCAAGCUUUGCUUGGUGUUGGGCGUCUUGUCUCUAGCUUUGCUGGAGACUCGCCUUAAAGUAAUUGGCAGCCGGCCUACUGGUUUCGGAGCGCAGCACAAGUCGCACUCUCUAUCAGCAAAGGUCUAGCAUCCAUUAAGCCUUUUUUUCAACUUUUGACCUCGGAUCAGGUAGGGAUACCCGCUGAACUUAAGCAUAUCAAUAGCGGAGGA
rnacentral:rRNA from 1 species